GAAUUUUCCGAUUAACGUAUUUGUUCCGAGAAUUGAUCCUGCUGUUUUUUAUUGAUUUUGGAGGUAUAAAUGUCACAUCGGAUUCUUAUUUAUUUUAGUUUCUCCUGCUUGUCUUCGUGUUCUUGAGAUUUACAUGUUUCUAUUUGUUGAUUUUGAUAUUUUUUCAAGAAGUAAUGGAGGGUUUAUCGGAGGAUCCAAAGCGAUGGCAGUGUUCCGAACAUUAGUAUGUACUUGUGUUCAACAACUUCUUUAUGAGAUUGCACAAGUUCUUAUACGAAUGUUUAAAAUUUGCAGGGGAGAUAAAAACACCCACAACCCUUAGACAUUUUUUAUGCUCAUAUAUUUGUUGAACUGAAUAUGCAUAUAAUUUGAACCGUGUAUGCACAUUUUUGAACUAUAUGUGUAUAUGAUUUGACUCAAAUAUAAUGUUCGUAUUUAAAGUGAUCCAGGAAAUCACAUUAAAAAAGGGCAAAUUUAGCUUAACAAAUAUGCAUAUAUCCUCUAAUUACUAAAAAGUCCCCACUCCACCUAAGUUUUGCGUCAUUCUUUUUCCUAUUAUACCUCUUAGUUUAUUUGUUAUUUUCUAUUGUCAUGCUCACCUUACAAUUCAUUGAUCAAUUUCUUUUUUUUUCUUAAAUAUAAACACUUGUAUUUAUUAUAUUUUCUCUACGGCUUAAAAAAGCCGAACACUCACCCCUCAUUUAGGUAAUAUUUUUUUCAAUUUUGCCCCUCGCCAAUGUAAUGUCAUGCUUAGCUUUGUUUGGAUGCCUAUUUCUUAUUUCCUAUUGGUCAAAUCCAUAUAGCAUUGACGUACCAAGGUUCUCUAUUACACUCACUUUUCUAAAUAACUUAUGAUAAGUAUAUGGGCAAAUCCAUAUACUUUUAACCAUAUAUAUUAAAAAAAAAUUAGUUAGAUGUAAGAGUAUGAUUAUCAAAACUUCAAGAAUCAAGCGUAUAUGAUCGAUUUAUCCUAUUCCAACAAGUCAAAAAUAUUUUCAGAUUAAUAAUUCUUUUGCACUUCUUAUUAUUUUUGGUUGUUUGGCAUAGAAUUGAGCAUAUAUCUGUGUACAUAUAUAUACACAUAAUUUUAAGUAUUUAAUGAAUAUAAUUAUAGGAUACUAUGUAUAAUUGAGGGGUAUUUAAAUAAGGAGUGGACUCGUCGUGUAUAAAUUGUUAAAACUGACAGAGUUACCAGUUAAUUUUUUUUUAAAUGAAUCGAUUAACUUUGAAUGGAGAAACACAAUGUAGACUAUAGUUCAAGCUUUCGAGAAGUUUUACAGCUUUAUUAUAAUUAAACUAAAGAUCAUAUACGGAUCGAAAACUUAAUGGUCAAAUAUUAAUCUCAUAAAUAAUUCAAAUGAGGGAUAUUCAUUUUCUUUUAAUUAGUUUUUUUUCCUAAAAUAGGCAAAUCACUUUUUCUGAAAAAUAACAUCAAUAUUACUCAAUAGAUAUUUAUUGUUUUAUUUAGAAAAAAAAUCACGGGCAUCGCACGUGCACUACAUUAGUAGUUCAAAAAAUACGCGCAAAGGUUCUUAGAUAUAUAUAAGCCAGCUCCUGAGGGCAUUUUAGUAAAAUAACUUUUCGUGUCCACUUGAAAAAAGACGAAAAUACCCUUACACUAAACUGCCCUAACCCUUCUUGGCUUCCUGCUCCACCGUUUUCUUUCUCCUUCCUUCCUUCCUCCCUCCCUCCCGUUUUCUCUCACCUUCCUCCCGUAUUCACCUUCAAUCUUCCUCAUCUACGAAUCUUCGAUCUUUGAUCUUCUUCGAUCUUCUUCCUCUACAAAACCCUUCGAUCUUCUUCAUCCUCUCCUUCGAUCUAUUCAUCUUUGCAAAUUUGUUCUCAAUUCGACAGAUAGCUUUUGGUGUGAGAAAUGACGAAAAGUAAACACAUGUAAUCUUGGUGGUGGGAUAGCCACAUUAGCCCGAUAAUUCGAAAGGGCUCCAGGAAAAUGUAACAGGUUCCCAUAACAACUUUCCGCAGAUCAAGAUCUGCUUGACUGUCAAACCCUCACCUGGCUUGAGGUCAAUUGGGUUUGUACUAAUUAUCUCCAAAAUCAGCCUUUUCUUUAUUGGUUUACUUGGUGUGACAAUUUGUCAUAUGUAAUACUACUAAGUGCAGUUGGACAGGAAGCAAGAGAGGGUGUGAAAGAGUCUAAACCAGAAGUUUAUAGAGAUCAAAAUUACUAUGUAGCUAAUUUUAAUCAGAAUCAGGGUGGGGAUUCGACAAUGCAGGGUUCGAGGACGAGUGACGGCAAUGUGGAGUCUGGAUCAGAAAGAAGGGGAAAAGAGUGAAGCAGUCAAGAGGAAGCUUGAUAUGCAAUUGGAACAGCAAAGGAUACAGAAAACAACAGGGAGCGAAAAUUCUUCAUCUGUUACUACUAAACUGAAUUCUUCAGAUAAAGAAAACUUUCCAUGUGCAGUGGUUCCAAGAGAAAAGUUUUGAUUGUUGAGGAGGUGAUGGAAAGUGAGGAUUACAAGAAAGAUUCAGUUGGGGAUCACCAAAACUCUUUACGGUUGCUUGAAUUAUCAACGACAAAUGAUCCAAGUAGUUUUAAGGAUGCUGCGGAGAAAGAGGAUUAUGAGUUGGAUGAAGUACUAAUUCUUUCUUCUACCAUUCAUAGUAGUACUCCGGGGUACUAAUUAGUUGAUGAUUGAAAAAGGAAAGUUAUUCUAAGUUUCUAACUAUAAACUAUGUUAGCAGAAGUUCUAACAAUUUUGUGAAGCUGAUUGUAAUGAUAUAAUCUAAUUUACAUUUUUUUUUGUCACCUUUCCACAACUGUUGUGGAAAUGAGAAGCUUUUCCUAUGAUAAUUAUACAUUUUUCUUUGAAACAAUCAACUCUGUUGAUUUUUGUGGUUUCAAGGAUUUGGUUCGAUACUGAAUGUUGGAAUCAUUUCCUUUUCUUUUCAUCCA